UAGGGAAUCUUCGGCAAUGGACGAAAGUCUGACCGAGCAACGCCGCGUGAGUGAAGAAGGUUUUCGGAUCGUAAAACUCUGUUGGUAGAGAAGAACGUUGGUGAGAGUGGAAAGCUCAUCAAGUGACGGUAACUACCCAGAAAGGGACGGCUAACUACGUGCCAGCAGCCGCGGUAAUACGUAGGUCCCGAGCGUUGUCCGGAUUUAUUGGGCGUAAAGCGAGCGCAGGUGGUUUAUUAAGUCUGGUGUAAAAGGCAGUGGCUCAACCAUUGUAUGCAUUGGAAACUGGUAGACUUGAGUGCAGGAGAGGAGAGUGGAAUUCCAUGUGUAGCGGUGAAAUGCGUAGAUAUAUGGAGGAACACCGGUGGCGAAAGCGGCUCUCUGGCCUGUAACUGACACUGAGGCUCGAAAGCGUGGGGAGCAAACAGGAUUAGAUAGCCCUGGUAGUCCA
rnacentral:rRNA from 1 species